AUGAGGGUUGUGAGCAUGUUGACGAUGGCUCGUGCGGCGUGGCUGGUGCUGCGGUACACGGUGGUGGUGCCCCUGCUGCAGCUGGCCAUCUACCUCUGCGCUGCCAUGUCCCUCAUGCUCUUUGCUGAACGCCUCUACAUGGGCCUCGUUGUCACCGUGCUCUGGCUCAAUCGCCGAUGCCGUAACCACAACCAAAGGAACAAGGGCGACGACGACAAUCUGAAGAGCGAUGACGCAGACCGACCCAUGGUCCUGGUCCAGAUCCCCAUGUUCAACGAGGAGCAGGUGUACCGUGUUUCCAUCGGCGCGGCUUGCGGCCUGUGGUGGCCGGCCGACAAGCUGGUGAUCCAGGUGCUGGACGACUCCACGGACACCGGCAUCCGGUCCCUGGUGGAGGCCGAGUGCCGACGGUGGGCGGGCAAGGGGGUGCACAUCCGGUACGAGAAUCGCAGCAACCGGAGCGGCUACAAGGCGGGCGCCCUGCGGGAGGGCCUCAAGAAGCAGUACGUAAAAGACUGCGAGUUCGUGGCCGUCUUGGACGCUGACUUCCAGCCGAACGGCGACUUCCUCCAGCACACUGUCCCCGUGCUCCAGGCGGACCCGGCCGUGGCGCUGGUGCAGGCGCGGUGGCGGUUCGUGAACGCGGACGAGUGCAUCCUCACCCGCAUGCAGGAGAUGUCGCUGGACUACCACUUUUCGGUGGAGCAGGAGGUCGGGUCGGCCUGCCACGGCUUCUUCAGCUUCAACGGCACUGCCGGGGUGUGGCGGGUGCACGCCCUGGCCGACGCGGGGGGCUGGAAGGACCGCACCACCGUGGAGGAUAUGGACCUGGCCGUCAGGGCGUCCAUGCGGGGCUGGAGGUUCGUCUACGCCGACGACGUGCAGGUGCGCAGCCAGCUGCCCAGCAGCUUCAAGGCGUACCGGUACCAGCAGCACCGGUGGUCGUGUGGGCCGGCCAACCUCAUGCGCAAGAUGUUCUGGGAGAUCGUCGCCAACAGGCAGGUGUCGGCGUGGAAGAAGCUCCACGUGCUCUACGCCUUCUUCUUGGUCAGGAAGGUGGUGGCGCAUCUGGUGACAUUCAUGUUGUACUGCGUCGUCAUCCCGGCCUACGCGCUCGUCGGCGGCCAGGACGUGCGGCUCCCACAGUACGUGCCCAUGUACGUGUCGGCCGUCCUCACCCUGCUCAACGCCGCGUGCACCCCGAGGUCCUGCCACCUGCUCGUCUUCUGGAUCCCCUUCGAGAACGUCAUGUCCAUGCACCGCUCCAAGGCCACCAUCAUCGGGCUCCUCGAGGCCAGCCGCGCAAACGAGUGGGUCGUCACCGAGAAGCUCGGCGGCUUCACGACCUCCACUCCUGCUGCCGCCACCACCACCAUGGCCAAGAAGACGAAGAAGAAGAAGAAGAAGAAGAAGAGCAGCAGCAGCUUCCUGGCGCCGGAGAUCGUCAUGGGGCUCUUCUUGCUCUACUGCGCUCUCUACGACAUGGUAUUCGGCCACGACCACUUGUAUGUCUACCUCCUCAUGCAGUCCGCCGCCGCCUUCGUCAUCGGAUUCGGCUACGUCGGCUCCCAAUGA
rnacentral:rRNA from 1 species